rnacentral:rRNA from 1 species
UACGAGGGGGCAAGCGUUGUUCGGAAUUAUUGGGCGUAAAGGGUGCGUAGGCGGUCUGACAAGUCUGAUGUGAAAUCUAUGGGCUCAACCCAUAGUCUGCAUCGGAAACUGUCGGGCUUGAGUAUGGGAGAGGUGAGUGGAAUUUCCGGUGUAGCGGUGAAAUGCGUAGAUAUUCGCAAGAACACCAGUGGCGAAGGCGGCUCACUGGCCCGGUACUGACGCUGAGGUGCGAAAGCGUGGGGAGCAAACAGG